AGUAAAGCGGCGCACGGGUGAGUAACACGUGGGUAAUCUGCCCUGGAGUGGGGAAUAACACCGGGAAACCGGUGCUAAUACCGCAUACGAUCACGAUGUCUGCGGACGUUGUGAUGAAAGGAGCAAUUCGCUCCAGGAGGAGCCCGCGGCUGAUUAGCUAGUUGGUGAGGUAAUGGCUCACCAAGGCUUCGAUCAGUAUCCGGUCUGAGAGGACGGUCGGACACACUGGAACUGAGACACGGUCCAGACUCCUACGGGAGGCAGCAGUGGGGAAUUUUUGGCAAUGGGGGCAACCCUGACCAAGCAACGCCGCGUGGGUGAUGAAGUAUCUCGGUACGUAAAACCCUUUCGACGGGGAAGAAACCGCAAGGUUGACGGUACCCGUAGAAGAAGCCCCGGCUAACUCCGUGCCAGCAGCCGCGGUAAUACGGGGGGGCAAGCGUUGUUCGGAAUUACUGGGCGUAAAGGGUGCGUAGGCGGUUCGCUAAGUUGGAUGUGAAAACUCUGGGCUUAACCCAGAGCCUGCAUUCAAAACUGACGGACUAGAGUUCUGGAGGGGGUAGCGGAAUUCCUGGUGUAGCGGUGAAAUGCGUAGAUAUCAGGAGGAACACCGGUGGCGAAGGCGGCUACCUGGACAGAAACUGACGCUGAGGCACGAAAGCUAGGGGA
rnacentral:rRNA from 1 species